rnacentral:rRNA from 2 species
CAUGUCCUUUUGAUAAUAAUUUUAGGUCUGAUCUGCUCAAUGAAAGUUUAAAUUGCCGCAGUAUUUUGACUGUGCAAAGGUAGCAUAAUAAUUAGUUUCUUGAUUAGAAGCUGGAAUGAAUGAUUGGACAAGAAAAUUUCUGUCUCUUUUUAAAUAGUUUUUAAAUUUUAUCUUUAAGUUAAAAGGCUUAAAUAUUAAUGAAAGACGAGAAGACCCUAAAGAGUUUUAUACUAUAAUUUUAUUUGUUUUUAGUAAUUUUUUUAUUAAUAAAGUAUUUGGUUGGGGUGACUUAAAGAUUAAAAUAAUUCUUUUAUGUUAAAUUGAUGAUAGUUAAAUUAUUUAUCUAAGUUUUUAAAUAUAAUACAAAUUACCUUAGGGAUAACAGCGUAAUUUUUUUUAAAGUUCUUAUUAAAAAAAAAGUUUGCGACCUCGAUGUUGGAUUAAAAUUAAUUUUUGGUGCAGUAGCUGAAAAAUUAGGUCUGUUCGACCUUUAAAAUUUUACAUGAUCUGAGUUUAGACCGGUGUAAGCCAGGUUGGAUUCUAUCUUUAGUUAGUUAAUAAGUUUUAGUACGAAAGGACCAGACUUAUAUUAUAUAUUAAUUG